AUUUAGUUCAUACAUGUUUCUUUGUUUUACUUUUUAGGCUCAACUUUCUUUCAUAAUUAAGAAUUUGCAAUUUGGGUAACGACAAGAAUCACAUCCGCACUAAAAUCAGUUGUUUGGACAGUGGAAUGAUCAGAGCAUUGACUGAGCGGAAUGGGGCAGAAACACAAGAAAUAAGAAGACCAUUUGGGAAGAGCAGAUAGUUGCCUUAAGAAAAUCUCGUUCAUCUGUACUCUGGGAUUUGGACUCAAAUUGUAAUUAUACAACUUCACACCUUCAGGUUCCAGUCAGUGCUCAGACUUCCUGUCUUCAACCUUGCCACAUUUUCGAGUCCAGCAAUAGCUUCUGCAAUUACUUUACUGUGCACAGUCUCUGAAAACCACCAUCAACUAGUGGUCUCACAUUCUUACACAUGUGCUCUAAUUAUCUAGAUAUGGUUGUCUUUGAAAACACUUUUUAAAGUUCUAUGGAGCCUAUUAUACAGAGUGAAGUAAGCCAGAAAGAAAAACACCAAUACAGUAUACUAACACAUAUAUAUGGAAUUUAGGAAGAUGGCAAUGACGACCCUGUAUGCAAGACAGGAAAAAAGAAACAGAUGUGUAUAAUGGACUUUUGGACUCAGAGGGAGAG
rnacentral:lncRNA from 1 species